rnacentral:rRNA from 1 species
AUUGAACGCUGGCGGCAGGCCUAACACAUGCAAGUCGAGCGGAGCGGCGGACGGGUGAGUAAUGCAUAGGAAUAUGCCUGGGAGUGGGGGAUAACGUCCGGAAACGGGCGCUAAUACCGCAUACUAUCAGAUGAGCCUAGGUCGGAUUAGCUAGUGGGUGGGGUAAAGGCCUACCAAGGCGACGAUCCGUAACUGGUCUGAGAGGAUGAUCAGUCACACUGUAACUGAGAUACGGCCCCGACUCCUACGGGUGGCAGCAGUGUGGGUUAUUGCACAAUUGGCGAAAGCCUGAUGCAGCUACGCCGCGUGUGGGAUGAAGGCUUUCGGGUUGUAAACCUCUUUCGCUAUCGAACGGGUAGGUGGAGAAGAAGCGCCGGCUAACUACGUGCCAGCAGCCGCGGUAAUAC